CCAUUUUUAUGCUUUUAUGUUGUUGAAAAAUGAUUCUUGUUUAUUUUCAAUUUUGACAGUUUGUUUCUUGAUUAGUUUUUUGUUGAUUGACGCACGAAGUGCAAAAAUAAAAGAAAGUCACCGUUGACUCAAUUUGGAAAUUGGGAAAAGUGAACGCUGAUCAAGUUUACUCCUUUGAUGACGGAUGCUGACGAUUUGCUGGAUAAUAGGUUCCAACAAGCUACCCGGAUAUACGGCUGUCGACGAAUUCUAUCGGAGGCCGUGCUGCUGGUGUCACCAAGUUGCCUCCGGAAAACAUAACAUAACCGAAACGGUACCGACAAUUUAUGGAAUGAAUCCUGAAUACGAAUUUCAACGAAACUAGCGGAUGGUCUACUGCUGCUGCUGAUCUGACGUUGUUUACUGCGAUUGUGGGGAUCCCGGUAUUAGGCAUCCGGAAGGCAUAGGCUGCAGGAAAGAAAACUAUCCUUUGAGUAAGGAGACUGCCGACAAUUUGCAAACGAUUUCAAUUUCCAAGAUACCUUCCGGAUGUGCAGCAGUC